UGUGAUGUCAGCACUUUGACAGGCUGAAGUCUUGAUGAUCAGCAGAACGGUCAGUCAUGACGAGGAUCCGCAGCUCGAGGAAGUUUGACAUGAGAAAGCACGCUGAAGUUCACAGCAUAUGAGAGGCGCCCGAGGGCCCUGUCAGCCCGGCUUUGAUUUGGAUCCGGAUCUCAGGGCUGGAAAUAGAGAUUAACAGAUGGCAGAAUGAUGGCGGUGCAUCAGGCUGAGCGGCCGGGCCGGGCCUCACCCACGCCGUACCCGCUGCACCGUGAAAUCGCUGGGGGUUUCACACCAUGCCCACACGAGAGCUCACGCUUGCUAUAUGAGAGACCUACAGGAUUGAAGCAGAAAUAUCCCUCAUGUCAUCUUCCCAAACACAGGUUAUUUAUCUAUGAGUCGGCGAGAAGUCUUGCAUUAGUUCUGGGUGUAUAAGGAAGCAGAAUUGAAUCAGGUUGAGUGGAGGAGUGAAUAUCUGUCUCAUCAUCUCUCACUCCACUGAGUCAGAAAGCGACAAAACUCUACACAACUCUCAAACACACGCGACGAACAAAACUAACAGAUGCCAGUGUGGACGCAUGAUUGGAGCUGAUCUCAAAGCAGACAGGUGGGCAUACCUGCACAACACAAUUAGCACAUGCAGCUGGUCAAAAGCAGGAUCUCAGUCUUCAAACACACACACAAAUGUCUUCAGACUGUCUUUUGGGCAUACACUGUGUUUAAGCUGCCAGCCAUUAUGAAAUUUACCAUAGUUAUUCACUAACAAAAAUACACUGUAAAAAAACAUUCUGUGGGUUUGUAUAUGUA
ensembl:lncRNA